CUGCACAGCGCUCGAGGGUAGGGUUUGUUGUUGUUGUUCUGGUCGCUGCUGGGUGGGUUGCUUUUUUGGGGGGUAAUCUGAAAUACGAUCGAGCCCGGAGCGCCAGGGAAACACCGCGCCUCCACAUUCACUUUCUGCUCGCAGAAGGGCAUGGGGCUGCACACAGGCGGCGGGAGGCGCGCACCGGCGGUCCCGCCGCCGGGAGAGGGGCCCGCCCCGGGGCCACUCAGGCGGUGGCCUCGGCCGGUGAAGGAGCCCCGGGGCACGUCCCCGGCCGGGGGGCACGGCUCUCCGCCGUCCCCCACAGGCGGGCGGCCCCGAGGGUGCGGCCGGGUCCCUCUCCGCGGGGCGCCGCGGCGGCUGUCGGGCGGCGGCAGGUGGUGGCCGCGCCAGCGCCCGUGGGGAGCCCAGCGGCUCCGCGGGGCCGAGCCCCUCCGGCCGCCGGCUCCCCCCGCGCUAUGGCCGAGGGCAUCCCGGGCGGUUUUUGUCCUUAAGAGCCCCCCCCCCCGCCCCCCCGAGCCCCUGCCCGGCCGCAGAUCGCCGCCGGCUCCGCGCGGAACUCGCAGACUCCGGAGCAGGAGAACAUGAGUGAAAACUUGAAGGACUGUUUGAUCCAGACCCAGGCUUCCUUAGGGGAAAUGGUGACGAUAAAAACAGAGACCUGCUCUCCGUGCCGGGACCAGGAGUAUGGACAGCCUUGCUUUGGAAGGCCUGACCCACAGUCCAUGGAGGUGGAGCCCAAGAAACUGAAAGGGAAACGGGAUUUGAUCAUGACCAAGAGCUUUCAGCAAGUGGAUUUCUGGUUCUGCGAGUCCUGUCAGGAGUACUUCGUGGAUGAGUGCCCGAACCAUGGUCCCCCAGUGUUCGUGUCUGACACCCCGGUGCCCGUUGGCAACCCUGACCGAGCAGCACUGACCAUCCCGCCUGGAAUGGAGGUGGUGAAAGAGCCCAACGGGGAGAAUGAUGUGCGCUGUAUGAAUGAGGUGAUCCCCAAAGGUCACAUCUUCGGGCCAUAUGAGGGGCAGAUCUCUAGCCAGGACAAGUCCGCAGGAUUCUUCUCGUGGCUGAUCGUUGAUAAGAACAACCGCUACAAAUCCAUCGAUGGGACAGAUGAAACCAAAGCAAACUGGAUGAGGUAUGUGAUCAUCUCCCGGGAGGAGAGGGAGCAGAACCUGAUGGCCUUCCAGCACAGCGAGAGGAUUUACUUCCGUGCCUGCCGCGACAUCUGCCCUGGGGAGAAGCUGCGGGUCUGGUACAGUGAGGAUUACAUGAAGCGGUUGCACAGUAUGUCCCAGGAGACCAUCAACAGAAAUCUCACAAGCGGAGACAAAAAGUCACAGAGGGAAAAGUCAGAAAAGAAUGUGGAAAAUCAAGAGGACACAAGGGGGCCGCUCCAGCUCGCCACCUUAAAGCAAGGGAAGAGCCCCUAUAAGCGCAGCUGUGACGAGGGGGAAUUCCACCCCCAAACAAAGAAAAAAAAGAUUGACCUCAUCUUCAAAGAUGUCCUGGAGGCUUCUUUGGAGUCUGCCAAAUUCAAAGAGAACCAGGCUGAAGACAUCUUUGAGCGGUGUAGCAGUGCCAUGCAGCAUGGCUCCCUGAGCCUCAGCAGAAACCGGAGUGAGGGGGAGUGGAAGGUCCCCCACAGUUCCUCUUUCAGCUCAGCCAAAGAGGUGGGCAUCCUUGAAGACGAGGAAGAAGAGCCCCUGUUACUCAAAGCAGACAGCCCAACCGAGCUGUCACUGGCCUCUGCACAAGGCAACUCCCACGAAAUCCCCACCACCUCCUUCUGCCCCAACUGCAUCCGGCUGAAGAAGAAGAUCCGGGAGCUGCAGGCAGAGUUAGACAUGCUGAGAUCUGGGAAGUUACCUGAGCCACCUGUGUUACCGCCCCAGGUACCUGAGCUCCAAGAGUUCUCAGACCCCACAGCUUCAGAAAGUAUCAUCUCUGUUCCCACGAUUAUGGAGGACGAUGACCAAGAAGUGGACUCAGCUGAUGAAUCGGUUUCCAAUGACAUGAUUGCUGCUACAGACGAGCCUUCCAAGAUGUCUUCUGCGACAGGCCGGAGGAUACGGCGGUUCAAGCAGGAGUGGCUUAAAAAGUUUUGGUUUCUGCGGUACUCCCCAACAUUGAAUGAAAUGUGGUGCCACGUCUGUAGGCAGUACACAGUGCAAUCCUCUCGGACUUCAGCCUUCAUCAUUGGUUCAAAGCAGUUCAAGAUACACACAAUAAAGCUUCACAGCCAGAGCAACCUCCACAAGAAGUGCCUGCAGCUUUACAAGCUCAGGAUGCACCCAGAGAAGACAGAAGAGAUGUGCCGAAAUAUGACCCUACUCUUCAAUACAGCCUACCACUUGGCCCUGGAGGGCAGGCCCUACUAUGACUUUCGGCCUCUGGCAGAACUACUGAGAAAGUGUGAACUCAAGGUGGUGGAUCAAUACAUGAAUGAGGGAGACUGCCAAAUCUUAAUCCACCAUAUCGCCCGGGCUCUUCGAGAGGACCUGGUUGAACGCAUCCGACAGUCUCCCUUCCUCAGCAUCAUUCUAGAUGGGCAGAGCGAUGACUUGCUUGCAGACACGGUCGCGGUUUAUGUGCAGUACACGAGCAGCGAUGGGCCUCCGGCAACUGAAUUCCUGUCUCUUCAGGAACUGGGCUUUUCUACAACAGACAGUUACCUCCAGGCAUUAGACAGGGCUUUUUCCAGCCUUGGAAUACGAUUGCAGGAUGAGAAGCCAACAAUUGGUUUGGGAGUUGAUGGUGCUAACAUUACUGCCAGCCUGAGAGCCAACUUGUUCAUGACAAUCAGAAAGACCUUGCCCUGGCUUCUCUGCCUGCCCUUUAUGGUGCACAGGCCACACUUGGAAAUUUUGGAUGCAAUCAGUGGCAAAGAACUUCCAUGCCUGGAGGAGCUAGAAAACAACCUGAAGCAACUGCUCAGUUUCUAUCGUUACUCUCCCCGACUCAUGUGUGAGUUGAGGGUGACUGCUGCCACUCUGUGCGAGGAGACCGAGUUCUUAGGGGACAUUCGAGCAGUGAAGUGGAUCAUUGGGGAGCAAAAUGUGCUCAACGCUCUAAUCAAGGAUUACCUGGAGGUUGUGGCCCAUCUCAAAGAUGUCAGCGGCCAGACCCAAAGGGCAGAUGCAUCUGCCAUUGCCUUGGCCCUCCUGCAGUUCCUGAUGGACUACCAGUCAAUUAAACUCAUCUACUUCCUGCUGGAUGUGAUUGCUGUGCUUUCACGCCUCGCCUACGUCUUCCAAGGGGAGUACCUUCUUGUGUCACAGGUGGAUGAUAAAAUAGAGGAGGCCAUCCAGGAGAUCAGCCGGCUAGCAGACUCGCCUGGGGAGUACUUGCAGGAGUUUGAGGAAAACUUCCGUGAAAGCUUUAAUGGCAUUGCUGUGAAAAACCUACGGGUGGCUGAAGCCAAAUUCCAGUCGAUCAGAGAAAAGAUCUGCCAGAAGACCCAGGUGAUCCUAGCCCAAAGGUUCGAUUCCCGUAGCCGGACAUUUGUGAAGGCUUGUCAGGUAUUUGACCUCGCAGCUUGGCCCAGAAGCACUGAUGAGCUCAUGAGCUAUGGGAAAGAGGAUAUGGUACAAAUAUUCGAACACCUGGAGACGGUCCCAUCAUUUUCCAGAGAGGUUUGCAGAGAGGGGAUGGACACCCGAGGGAGUCUGCUGAUGGAGUGGCGAGAACUCAAAGUGGAUUAUUAUACCAAAAAUGGUUUUAAAGACUUGCUCAGUCACAUUUGUAAGUACAAACAGAGAUUCCCCCUCCUAAAUAAAAUAGUUCAGAUCCUCAAAGUCCUUCCCACCUCAUCGGCCUGCUGUGAGAAGGGGCGCACCGCCCUGCAGAGGGUGCGCAAAAACAACCGCUCUCGGCUCACGCUGGAGCAGCUCAGUGAUCUUUUGACGAUUGCUGUUAAUGGGCCACCUAUUGCCAACUUUGAUUGCAAAAGGGCGCUAGAUAGCUGGUUCGAGGAGAAGUCGGGCAAUAGUUAUGCGUUGUCAGCCGAAAUGCUGAGCCGGAUGUCAUCUCUUGAUCAGAAGCCAAUGUUGCAGAGCAUGGACCAUGGCUCUGAGUUUUACCCCGAUAUUUAGGAAGGAAUGCCUCAGAUCAGAAAGCUGUUGAAUAAUUUUUUUAAUCUAUACUCUAAACUUUGAUAUAUUAUAAAAAAAAAAUAUAUAUAAUCUAUAUUAAGGAAAAACCCACACUGAAAAUUUAAAAGUUUAGACGAUGUGCGUCUGAUAGAAGCUAAGCAGAAUUUUAAAGAUUGAGACAAUGUUUAGACAUUUACUGGUGUCUCCAACCAUGGCAGCUGCAGUGUAGGUGGCAACAUUUCAUUCUUUAGAAGCAUGUGCUGGGGCCAUACUCUACAUGUUCAAACCUAACUAUCUAUAAGCUAGAUGACGGGUCUUUGUCAGCCUCAGCCUCCCGGCGGUUUCCUUUGUAUGUGUGUUGUCGGUUUGUUGAGUUGUUUUUUUGUGUUGUUUUGUUUCGGGGUUUGUUUGUUUGUUUCUUUUUCCCCUUGGUUUUGAUCUCUGCCUCUCUUUCCGUUGUUCAGUCCAGUUAUUGAGCCACUUGAGCCUUUUGUUGACAACCGUCAGAUUUCUGAUUUCCGACAGAGCAUCCUGUGCAUUUAUGUUGCCCCUGGCUCUCCAGCUCCACCCAGUUCUCUUGACUCAAGUGGGAGCUUUCCUUACAGAGAUUACUGGCAGGAGGGAAAGGCUGGGGGUGUUAUUUUGGUUUUUUCUUCUGAUUUAGAAACAAAUGCCUCCACUAAACUGUGAUGCCCCUUUCUCAAUUCUCCCUACUUUUGGGCUGUAGAGUAAUACUUGGCUUUCAGCUCCUUUUAUGAUAACCAUAGUACCAGUCUAUCAUACAUAUAUUAUUACAUGGUGUCAUGUGCAGACUAUAAAAUAGCAAAAUAGAGAAGGCAGGGGGAAAUUUUUGCAUUUAUAUUUUUAUAUUGUAGGAGAUAAAUAUAUAUAUAUAUAUAUAUACAACUAUUCAUUCAAAACCAGGGCUGCUGUGGAAGCUAGACAGCCAAUGAGUCAAGAGCCAUCUCUGGGCAGAGAUUCAAAGGCUUAAAAAUUAUAUUCUAAUUUACAUUAUUUAUACUACGUCUUUAUAAUCCUAGAUUGUUGUGGGGUUUUUGUUUUGUUUUGUUUUGUUUCGUUUUGUUUGGAAUGACUGAAAGAAAAACCUGCCACAGUUUGGUGGCAGGAGCUAUCAAUGCAAGAUUAUCUUGGAUUAUAUUCAUGUGAUGAUGUCCUACAAAGGUUCACGUAUUCUCUUGUGACCAAGGUAACAUGUUCCACAGCACAGCAGCCUGAUGACAGCAGGAAGAAGGGAUGCUCUGCUUCUUCCUGCGAAAUGUUUCUUCCUUUCUUGAAGAGAUGCAGAGUCCAGCUGAAAUGUGAAUGGGGGACUUGCACCUUCCAUCACAAAGAGAUUGUUCUGUGGGCUUGGGGUUCUUCGUUGUUUUAUUCUUUUAAAGUAAAUGAGCUCCAGGCAUUCACACAAUAUCACUUCAGGUUAGAAAAGCAAAAAAAUAAAAAACAAACAAACAAAAAAAAACCACAAAAAAGGUGCAAAAACUCCACAGAUGCUAGUGCCUUGCCCUGCUGAUGUGGCAUGGACAGCACCAACCUGACCAGACCAUCAUGGGAGUGAGAACCUGUUGUCCAGAAGGUGUCCGAGCCAACAUGAUCUCACUUCCCAGAGGGAUGAGCUUUGUGCCAAGCUGUGUUGUUUGGAAACAUGAUGGUGGUAUCAGCAACACUGAACCUUUCCUUUCUCCUGUUACCCCCCUGCCCUUGGUCUUGGUGCUAAGAUAUCUCUAGAACCGUUGCUGCUAGUUGAUAGCUUUUCAUUUAUAUAAAUAUAUAUAUAUAUAAAAAAUAUUAUUUUAUUUUUUAAACUUUUUUGUUUGUUUUCAAUGGAGAUGUAGCAUGUUUGGAACCGAUCUCUUUUGGAGUCACUUUCACUGCCAGGGUUCACACACUGUCUUCCCCGGGAAAACACGCACUUCUGCCUAGGUCUUGCUCACCUCCCACUAACCACUUUGCCCUCAGCAGAACCACACAGCCAGCACCAGGCAGAGAUGUACAGCCAAGCCGCUGUGGACUGGCUCAGCUUUCAGACCCCACAGGAACAGCUAGACUGGUGUUGGUCAGCGUUUUGGGAGUGUUCCCCUUCUGUCCCUGUGGGACUGAGAAGGGACUGAGCCCACCUGAAGCACUAGUGUUGGUCCAUCCUUGCGUCCUGACUCUGCACUCUUUGCUGUAAAACGGGGCUCUUUGGCCAGAGAGGCCAAAGGGAGCAGAGCAGACCCCACGAAUGUAGCAGCAAGGGCUGGGCAGGCGGCAUACCCUCCGUAGCACUUACUCCCUGUCCCCUCUGCCUUACCUCAGAUGGCAUGUGCAGCCUGCCGGCUGGCUCGGGCAGUGGGGGGCACCUGCACCAGGGCCUGCUGCUGAACCACCGGCAGCAGUGCAGGCGCUGGGCACUUCUCCCUGCGGUCCUCAUGGGAACGCCACAAGCUAGGUCAGGUCAUUGCGCCGUUGCAGCGCUGGGGUGUCAAUAUGCAACACCUAGCAAGCAAAAAAAAAAAAAAAAAAAGGCUUUAUUUGCAUUUUUUCCUGUCUUUCCCAAUAAAUGAUGUGAUCAGAUUUACCCCCAUUCAUUUAGAGGAGUGAAAAUUAAACUAGAAAUCCCCCGCCAGCUGUGCAGACUUGGGUGGUUGUUUGCCUGACCAUAAAAUAGGGAUCUCUCCACAAGAGGUGCUUGUGUAGCCCUUCAGGCCCGGCAACUCAGCUCUGCUCAGGGUGCUGCCACAAAGGUCGCAAAGCUGCUCCCUGCUGGGGAGAUGGCAGGCUCCCUCCUUAGUUAGAAUUUUUGGAGAUAAAAAAAAAAAACAAAACCCCACCAAAAAAAAAAAACAGGUAGAAAAGGUAGAAGAAUUGCUGCUCAGUCUCUGACCUGGAAAUGAGCAAGGUGAACGUAGAUGUUGGAGACAAGAAGUGAAUUGAUGCACCAGCAGGGAAUGGGCAGGUGGGGGACAGUCUUCCUUGUCGAGCAUGCACACAGCAGGCAGUAGAAGCAAAAGUAACAAAGAUACUUGAUGCAGGCUGCCGUGGUUGUUGGAGAGGCUGUAAAGACAGUUUCCGUCCUCCCCUUUUUUUCACUUUCCUUUGCCGAACUCCAUAGCUCUUUGUGGGGGGAACUAAAAAACACCUGCCUUUCUGUUUGCUGCAGUGGAAGCUCCUUUGCACAUGGCUCUGUCACAGAGGCCCGUCAAAGUGCCUGGCCUACAUGGAGGGAAGGGACACUUGCAGACAGUCUCCAGACACCUUUGCAGACAGGAGUGCUCCCCCAGUGCUUGUCCUGAGCACCUGAGAGGCCUGUUUACAACUCCUGCUCUGAGCCUCUUUACUUUUGCCACUGGGGAGAAAAUGGUGCCUUGCCUUGUCAGCGAGGUUAGAGCUGCCAGAGCCUUGUUCAGAAAUGAUUCCUCUAAUUUGUCACUCCUUCCCUUUGGUGCGUUUGCAGAUCCCACUCUCAUCAGUGACAGCUUUCACUGGCUGCUCUUAUUCCUGACGGCAAAGCGAAAUGCACAGCGAGUGGCUUUUUUAUCUGUGCAGUCAGGUGGCAAGGGGAAAGUGCUGGUUUCUUUUGCAAAUAACUGCCUGCACCUGUGAGUGAUGUCAGUAGGAAGUGUGAUUCCCUGCCAUGGGAUAUUGCAGAUACCCAUGAUGGGAAGGCUCAGAGACCCCUUGCAUUGGUGAUAGGGGGGAAAUGAGUGCUUGGCGGAGCAGCCGGCUUGGCCCAGCCCAGCUCCCACAACACAAACAAUUCCUGAUUGCCCCCAAGUCAGAAAAUAAGCCCAGCUUUUGUCCUAGACAAACGCAGGUGCUUUGAAAGCUUUCCCUGUAGGUUUACCCACCUAUCUCAGAUCUGUAGCUAUUACUGCCAUGGAUAAACGUGACUGCUGUGACUGCCGGCAUGAGCAAGAUAGGGAGGAGGGAGGAAUACCAAUGCAAAGUGCCCCUGGCUUCCCAGUGGCCUGCCUGCUGAGCCUUUCCCGGGAGCAAGUGCUUUUCUGUGCCCUAUUUGCAAACCUCAGGAGGCAGCGGCAGGCAUGGGGAGGGCUCACUCAGCAUGGCAGAGAGGGAGGCCACCUUUGUUCAGAGAUAGCCACGCAUCAGGUUUAAUCCAUGCCUUUCCUGCUGCCCUGAGUGAGCAAGAGGAGGUUGUUUUGAACACGUUCACAGCAUCUUGAAGUGCUUCAGCUGCAAAGAGAGAAGGGUUUAGUUUUUCUCAAAUGAGCUCUUUAUUCUCUCUUUCCCCCUGCGCCUUUGCUAUGGCAUCUGACUGUGAAUAAUGCACACUUCUCUAGACCAUUGGGUUUGUAUUUCUAGCCCAUGGGCCUUUUGGUUGCCAUUUUCUCUCCUCACUUUUUGCUCAGGCUCCUUGCCUCUUUUACCCUGCUGUGAAGCAGAAAUCCAUGAAGCACAUUCAGACAUGUCCUUCUGCAGGGCUCACCAGUGGCUGCAGAGGUCCAGACCCUCCGGCCACAAGACUGAACUCAGCAGGGAUAAUCCUCACAAGAGACCAAAGCUCUUCCCAUACCAGCAAAAGUAUGUGGAUGCCACAGGAGGUUGUGAGGGGAUGCGGUGGGCAGGGUCCCAGUGUGUCAUCUGCCUUGGGUCUCGAGCUGACCACAGCGAUGGUCCCCUGUUCUGGUCGCACUUUUGCUGACAUGACUCCUUAGACAUGAUUCAGGCUCGGUCCAUCUCUUUCUCACAGCACAAACUCAACCAGGUGUCCCAUGGGGUCUUCAGGGUCCCCUUUCUUUCUUAUCUCAUGAAGACUGGUGUUUGUUUGACCAGUGGGUAAGACAACCUAGACAGCCGGCUUGCAAAUGAGCAGCAACAGCAUCUGCUUUUGCAUAUUCCCCUCAGCCCUGUCGAAAGAGGUCUUAAAAGCAGAGAAAUGGUACGUUGCUCCCCCAGCCAUUGUAUUCAAUGCAGUAAUGCCUAUGCAAUUCCUGUCUCCCUUGGAGACACGUAUGAUGUGUGUGCAUGUAAGCUAGUGUAUGUAUACAGUACAUACGCAUAUGGUCUAUAUAUUGUAUAUACGCACAUCCCAGUACAUAUACACACAGUACAAAAGAUUAAAAUCACAUGCUUAUAUAUCUAUAAAUAAAAUCCUAUAUAUUUAUAUAUUUCUAUGUUUUCGAUAGAUAUAAAGAUAUAAUAUAGAGAUAGACUCAACCACCCUUGUGUAAGGCUGGCCCUGUGUUCAGGCACAAGGCAUGUAACACUGAAGACUUUGGACUUUGGGAUAGUUUUAGCCAUACACUGAGGCCUACAUUUACGUGUAUAGCACUCUAUGGAGAGGGGCUUUGCUGUGGUUAGGGCAAGGGGUUUCCUUGCUGGCAUGUUAACCAAGUGCUAAAUAAGAUUUGUGUAAUAGGGGAAUGUCUUGGUGGGGGAAAAUGAUUGAGUGUCCUUGUCUUCUCCCGAGUAAGCCUCUGGCUGAGGUCCUGUGGACAGGCUUGGACAGAUACAUAUCCCACCCUCAUAUGCACUUUUCUCUUUGCAUGGAUGCGGUUGGCAACUGCGGGUACUGGUGCUGUGAAAACGUGGCUUUCUGCUGUUCUGCCCGGCAUUCCUCGGCAGUCGCCGGCACGCUGCCAGGGAGACCGUGUGCCAGCAGGCGCUCACACCACACCAAGUGAGAGCGUAGGUUUGCUCACGGGCAUCAGUCAGUGACACGGCUGUGGUGCUGGGGUAAAGGCAGCAGGAAAGCAAAGGCGUUACUGCGUGGAGGGAGGGUCGCUGCUGCACGGUUGUUGGUGGCAGGGAUGGUGUAUAGAGCUGGAGCAGCACAAAUGAGAAGAGGACGUAAAUUUGGAGUGGUAAGGAUGACAGUGUGCAAGCCCCGCUGGUGAGGCACGCGCAGCUCUGUUGCUGGGUCAGGCUGGCUGCUGCUCUGCUGCAGGAGCUGCUCCGCUCCCUCAGGUCUCGCAGCUGCAUCUCGGCUGGUGAGCAGCCUGCCUGGCCGAGGGCCCGGGUGUUUUUUCUGGAGGAAAGGGAAUGAUGUGGUCACGCAGAAGGCAUGGUCGGUGGCGCAUGUGUGCCUUUAGGCCCUAACACACGGCAUGCUGACCUUGCCAGACUAGAAGCACCAAAGGGUGCAUCCCUCUUGCCCUGCCCAUGCAAAGAGACACCUGUUUUCACCUGACAGGUGUUUCUGUGCUUUGACUGGGGGUGGAUCAGCCUUCCCUGGGUGUCUGCCAAUGCCUGCAGGAUGGACAGCCACCUCAUCCCUCCCUUCACACAGCCGCUUGUAGGACAGUGACCCCACUGCAGGGUGAAGCCCUUGGUGGGCACCUGGGGAGACCUGAGAGGCACCUCUGGCUGGGCUGGCAGCAGGUGGUGGGUCACUGCACUGCUUCCCCACAAGAGUCGAAGGGGAGGCAUGGAGGUUUGGCUUUGCAGCUCCACACCAGGCCUGGCAACCACUGCACUCCUCGCUGUUUUAGUUGUUGGCUUCAGCUGGGAGGAGGGUGAGUUGUAAUUCCGACGACCAAAUAACUCGUUACACUGGUAUUGCAUGAGCAGACGCUGUGCAAGCUCCCCCCAAGCCCUGUCACACACCUCAGCACCCUCUCCCAGGCCUCUCUCCUCCACACAACUGGUAAUCCACCUCAGCCGCAACCCACUUGCCAGCGGCUCCCCACUCCACUGCAGCCCCUCAGUCGCGCAGCGCCGGUGGGGAGCUCCCUGGCACGUGUUCCUCACAAACCUCAGAGACGGUUUCCUCACUCCCAGCCUCCUCCUUCGGAUGCCACUGACACUCACGUAGGCUCAGCCCGCUGCCUCACUGCCCACCCGCCCAUGCCGACAGUGCUGCUGCCCGGCGAGGGGCUCCCAUGCACUGCACCUCAUGUCAAAUAAGCUCACUGGGCUACGUGGGGGAACCAUGUCUCAUAUGCUGUAAUGUCCUGAAUGCUAUAGGAGGGCUACGGAGUUUUCUGCCAGUUAUGGCAUCCUCAUAGACUCACCUGACUGUUGGCAAAAAUGUAUUUCUACUUCCAGAAGACAAGAGGUUUUGUCUCAGACCUCUCCACAUCCACAUCCAAGCACAGCCCUGCUGAACUGUUUCAAGCAAUCUCUCACCCACCCCACCACCACCCACACCCACACACACAAAAUGAGAGAAAAAUAUCUAGACGUCUAUUACUACAUAUGUAUUAAUAUGUUAAUAUCACUCUUUUGGAGAACAUUAAAAUGUUAUUACUUUACAGACUAUGCUUUAUAGUACCUGUGUGAAAGGACCUAGGACACUGGAUACGAAUAGAGCUAUGUUGAUAUAUCAUAGUAUGUACACGAGAACCUUCCUUUUGUCAUAUUAUCCUUGUAAUGUAAAAUGAUUGUUAAUAAAAAAACAUUUAAAUUUA